ensembl:snRNA Gm24569 predicted gene, 24569
GUGCUUUCUCUGGCAGCAUGUAGGUUAAAAAUUGGAAUGGCACAGAGGUUAGCAUGGCCCUUGACCAAAGAUGACAUGCAAAUUGAUGAAAUAUUCCAUAUUUUA